rnacentral:misc_RNA from 2 species
AACGCAAGUUGCGCCCGAAGCCACUAGGCCGAGGGCACGCCUGCCUGGGCGUCACACGCCGUUGCCCCCCCCAUCUACUCCUUCGGGAUUGCGGGGGGGCGGAUGAUGGCCUCCCGUGUUCCUCGCCGCGCGGUUGGCAUAAAUACCAAGUCCUCGGCGACGCAUGCCACGACAAUCGGUGGUUGCGAAACCUCGGUUGCCCGUCGUGUGCGUUCGUCGCGCAUCGAGGGCUCGAAAAAAUGCUCGGCUCCGGCUCGGCUUUCAACGCGACCCCAGGUCAGGCGGGGUUACCCGCUGAAUUUAA